rnacentral:rRNA from 1 species
AUUGAACGCUGGCGGCAGGCCUAACACAUGCAAGUCGAGCGGAUGAAGGGAGCUUGCUCCUGGAUUCAGCGGCGGACGGGUGAGUAAUGCCUAGGAAUCUGCCUGGUAGUGGGGGAUAACGUCCGGAAACGGGCGCUAAUACCGCAUACGUCCUGAGGGAGAAAGUGGGGGAUCUUCGGACCUCACGCUGUCAGAUGAGCCUAGGUCGGAUUAGCUAGUUGGUGGGGUAAAGGCCUACCAAGGCGACGAUCCGUAACUGGUCUGAGAGGAUGAUCAGUCACACUGGAACUGAGACACGGUCCAGACUCCUACGGGAGGCAGCAGUGGGGAAUAUUGGACAAUGGGCGAAAGCCUGAUCCAGCCAUGCCGCGUGUGUGAAGAAGGUCUUCGGAUUGUGAAGCACUUUAAGUUGGGAGGAAGGGCAGUAAGUUAAUACCUUGCUGUUUUGACGUUACCAACAGAAUAAGCACCGGCUAACUUCGUG